UCAUCACUCUUGCAGAUGCAGAUGCAAAACUUGCAAAUGGCGUUCAUUGUGUGAUUUUUGUUUUGAAGCGGCACAGAAUGUUUUAUACCUAUUUUCAGCUCCACAACACUCGGUAUGGAAAGUAGAGAGACUUAAAACAUUCCACAUUUACGAGGGUGGAAAUACAAGUAUAGCGUCUACACUUCUCAGAAGCCGAUUCACACCAUUGCCAGCUUACAUCAUAUGGAGGCAGAUCUAUCUAUGACUCACUACACGGCUUGAAAUGCCAUCUUGGACCAAUCCGGAACAUAAGCUUUCGAGUGGGAACCUCAAUGGACGGAAUUUCGUCACCAGUCAAGAAGAAUGAAGAGUAUUGCUUGGUUCUAAUACCAGUUGCAUGCAACCUCAUGACUCACCGUCACAUCAACCUUGCUGGCCCUCAGACGAAGACUACCCAACCAAGAUGAUACCUGAUUCCAUGAUAUAUAUUGGUGUUUACUUGUAACUAAAUGUUAACGGAUGGAGGGGGCAAACUGCUACCUCUCAGCACGGGGGUGGGUCAGGAUCGGUUUACGUUCGCGUGUGCCAGGGGGGUGAGACAACACCUUGGCUGGUCAGAGCAUGGGAAAUCGCACCUCCCCCCUCCCACGAGCGUGGGAGUUAGGGUUGGGGUGUCCGGCUCGCAGGUUUACCCUGGCACAAUCGCAUAGGUUGAAUGACGUCGUUGACGUUAGGGCGGGCGCGAUACGUAGGGCAUGCGUCGUGCGCAACUGUACUCCCCGCAAUUACAAUAUUCAUGUCCUAGCUACAAGGGUAUAUACAGUGUACGGAUAUAUAUAAAUAUGUGCGUGAUAUAUAACGGUUAUAUAUGUACCUAGCUACAAUCUUGUACGUGUUGCCAUAUUUUGGGACUAAAUUUGGCAAUGAACAAGGCACUUUAUCCUAGUUCGCUUUGAGAAGGAAGUGACUUUGUCACUAGUGAGGAGAUAAGCUUCCUUUGCCUCCCUAGCUGCAAGUUGUCCUUAGGCAAGGCAUAGCACCUGUUUAGCCUCCCGUGCCAGGGUUACGGUCAAGAUGUCUAAUAUAGUGGAGAUGGACUGAACACAGCAUUGAACAUAACAAAAUUGGAGUGAAGGAGAAACAUAGCUAAAUGAGUGCUGCUCUACUAGAUAAUCCACAGUAAAGAAGGUAUAUAAUACCAGUAUCUUUCUCCAGCUAAAUAUCUGCUAGUGACCCAAGGAAGAUGGAGAAGAAGAAGAAGAAGAAGAAGAAGAAGAAGAAGAAGAAGAAGAAGAAGA